UACGGAGGGUGCGAGCGUUGUCCGGAAUCACUGGGCGUAAAGGGCGCGUAGGCGGCCUGAUAAGUAGGGGGUGAAAUCCUGCGGCUUAACCGCAGGGCUGCCUUCUAAACUGUCGGGCUAGAGCACGGUAGAGGCAGAUGGAAUUCCCGGUGUAGCGGUGGAAUGCGUAGAGAUCGGGAAGAACAUCAGUGGCGAAGGCGGUCUGCUGGGCCGUUGCUGACGCUGAGGCGCGACAGCGUGGGGAGGCAAACAGG
rnacentral:rRNA from 1 species